UCCUUGCAGAGCUUCUCUUCUUCUUUUCCUCUGGUUUAAGCCGCCUCAUAAACUACCACCACCACAAUCACACAGAUCAUGGCUUUUGAUGUCGACGAUGAACAAAAUCAACAAGAUCAUGGCUCAUUCUUUUUCUUACAUUUUGGUUUUACCUAAUUUACAAUUGACUUCUGAUCAUAUUCAUUAGACUUGAUAAUUUUGUUUUGUUCUUUUUCUCAGUCAAUUAAUUUUCUUAAUUUUUCAUUUCCUGUGUGUGUGCUGUGACUAGUCUGCCAAAAAGAAAUGAAGCUAUUGGAGAAAGAAACACGAAUCAGUGUGAUCUCCCUGACUCAUUCUGCUGUCUCAUUGCUUCACUCUUUCCUUAGCUUGCUGGAAUGAUUGAUUUAACCACUUUUCUAGUUGUAUGGUGGGAAUUGGGAACACAUUAAUGAGGAGGAGGUGAUGUCUUCUGAAAGAAGCCAAACAAAAAAAGACGAAGAUAACGGAUUUUAGGAUCCAAAUCCAGCUUCGUGAAAGCAACCAUCAGAAGAAUGAGGUACUCUGAACAUGUGUACUGAUGUUUGAAGAAGUCAGAGAAGAAGAAGAGCUUUAGUAACCUGUUAUUGGUGUGUUUUAUUAGAGUAAAUGUAAUUCUCUCACACUUGGUUACAGAGAGGGCUAUGAAGAAUCAAAAUUUUGUCUCCAGUGGCUGAACUAGUGAAUAGAAGGAACCAGGCGACGAAACAAGUGAAUAGAAGGAACCAGAGGCUCUCCCUGCAAGGGGCAAAAAUUUUACACCCCAAGCUAGAUUUGGACCUUCCACUGUCCAGCUGGUAAAAUGAGAGCUGUGGCUAAGACAUUAGAAGAAGAAUCAAAGUCUAAAAUUGGACAAGCUAGCAGUGAUGGUGACGAUGAAGAACCAGAGAGCAGAGCCAAUGCCUUUACCAAAAGAUACUGGCACCUGUUCCCCCGAGUUUGCAGGGCAAGAAUGAUCCAAGUAAAUAGGGUCUAAAAUUUCGCAGGUGAAAAUGUGAAGCAUUUAACAUGUGUUGUCUGGAAACAAAAACAUACUGUAUUACUGUUGUUGAUUAUGCUUGGUUAAGCCACACAAUUAUUUCUCUUGUAAUCUAAAAACAAUGCAAUGUGUUCGAUGUUUUAUGAUAUCUAUACAGAACAAUUUUUGAAUUA